rnacentral:rRNA from 1 species
GUGAGGAAUAUUGUGCAAUGGAGGCAACUCUGACGCAGCCAUGCCGCGUGCAGGAAGAAGGCGCUACGCGUUGUAAACUGCUUUUAACCGGGAAGAAACCCCAGGACGUGUCCUGGGUUGACGGUACCGGAGGAAUAAGCACCGGCUAACUUCGUGCCAGCAGCCGCGGUAAUACGAAGGGUGCAAGCGUUAUCCGGAUUCAUUGGGUUUAAAGGGUGCGUAGGCGGAGCGUUAAGUCAGUGGUGAAAUCCUGCAGCUUAACUGUAGACUUGCCAUUGAUACUGGCGCUCUUGAGUGCGCUUGAAGUGGGCGGAAUGUGCCGUGUAGCGGUGAAAUGCUUAGAUAUGGCACAGAACACCAAUUGCGAAGGCAGCUCACUAAGGCGAUACUGACGCUGAGGCACGAAAGCGUGGGGAUCGAACAGGAUUAGAUACCCUGGUAGUCC